GACGAACGCUGGCGGCGUGCCUAAUACAUGCAAGUAGAACGCAGUUGCGAAAGGGUGAGUAACGCGUAGGUAACUGCCUGGUAGCGGGGGAUAACUAUUUGAAACGAUAGCUAAUACCGCAUACUACCAUAUGGACCUGCGUUGUAUUAGCUAGUUGGUGGGGUAACGGCUCACCAAGGCAACGAUACAUAACCGACCUGAGAGGGGGAGCGGCCAAACUGGGACUGAGACACGGCCCAGAUUCCGACGGGAGGCAGCAGUAGGGAAUCUUCGGCAAUGGACGGAAGUCUGACCGAGCAACGCCGAGGGAGUGAAGAAGGUUUUCGGAUCGUAAAGCUCUGUUGUAAGAGAAGCGGUAUCUUACCAGAAAGGGACGGCUAACUACGUGCCAGCCGCCGCGGUAAUUC
rnacentral:rRNA from 1 species